UCCGGUUGAUCCUGCCGGAGGUUACUGCUAUCGAGGUUCGACUAAGCCAUGCGAGUCGAAUGUAGCAAUACAUGGCAUACUGCUCAGUAACACGUGGACAACCUACCCUUGAGACGGGGAUAAACCCGGGAAACUGGGUAUAAUACCCGAUAGAUCUCGACUGCUGGAAUGCAUCGAGCUUGAAAGCUCCGGCGCUCAAGGAUGGGUCUGCGGCCUAUCAGGUAGUAGUGGGUGUAGUGUACCUACUAGCCUACGACGGGUACGGGUUGUGAGAGCAAGAGCCCGGAGAUGGAUUCUGAGACACGAAUCCAGGCCCUACGGGGUGCAGCAGGCGCGAAAACUUUACAAUGCUGGAAACAGCGAUAAGGGGACCUCGAGUGCCAGGUUACAAAUCUGGCUGUCGUGAUGCCUAAAAAGCAUUGCAUAGCAAGGGCCGGGCAAGACCGGUGCCAGCCGCCGCGGUAACACCGGCGGCUCGAGUGGUAACCGUUAUUAUUGGGUCUAAAGGGUCUGUAGCCGGCCGGAUAAGUCUCUUGGGAAAUCUGGCAGCUUAACUGUCAGGCUUUCAGGAGAUACUGUCUGGCUCGAGGCCGGGAGAGGUGAGAGGUACUUCAGGGGUAGGGGUGAAAUCUUGUAAUCCUUGAAGGACCACCAGUGGCGAAGGCGUCUCACCAGAACGGACCUGACGGCAAGGGACGAAAGCUAGGGGCACGAACCGGAUUAGAUACCCGGGUAGUCCUAGCCGUAAACGAUACUCGCUAGGUGUCGGCCACGGUGCGACCGUUGUCGGUGCCGUAGGGAAGCCGUGAAGCGAGCCACCUGGGAAGUACGGCCGCAAGGCUGAAACUUAAAGGAAUUGGCGGGGGAGCACACAACGGGUGGAGCUUGCGGUU
rnacentral:rRNA from 1 species